GGAGGACUGGCCCGGGAGGGGCGCUAGCCGGCGUGUGAAGGGCCACGUAGGGCGAGGCGCGAAGGCUGCGCGGGAGAACGGGGCUGAAGCCUAAGCAGUAGCCGAGCUUUGAUGGCAGCAUCUGGAGGGAGAAAGAAGGCGCAGAGCUGCGGGAAGAGAACAUGGGCGCGCGCCCGGUGCAGAGGCCGCAGCCUGGCGGCGGCCCAGGCCACGAGCGAGGCAAAGGCCCCCCCAUCCUUGGGGUACUUAGCAGUGACUGGAGGCUCUUGUAAAAAUGCAAGCUUGAGCCCCCCGCCCCCGCCCCGAGAUUCUGCUGCCUCAUGUCCAGAGUGAGCCCGGGGUUAAGCACUUUUGUUCAGCACCAGGAUGGUUCUGCACGUUUUGAAGAAGUACUAAAAGAUAAGUGAAACGAAAAAGACAAAACACUGACUUUACCAAAAUUCCUCCCAGGAAUACUUCUGCAUUUGGUUGGAAGGACUACCUGAAGGUGGAAACAUAAUCUGUCUCUAAGGGAAAUUGGUGCAGAUGCCGGGCAGGGCUUUGCGCACUGAGUCAGGGACGCUUGCUUGGGCAGAACUCAAAUGCCCAUGGAAGAAUGAUGAAAGGCUGAGUUCUGCCGUCAUUACGCCAUCCUUCCUCCCUGUAAUCUUUGGCUUUUUCCCUGAAUGAAGAGAUACUAAUAUUUAGAGAAUACAUAUUAAAAGGGCCAUCACAUUAGUAUUGUCUGAUUAGGAAAAAAGUCUUUGCAACCUCAAAAAAAUCUUUGAACGAUACGCAGAUGAUUUAGCAAAGAUAGAUGUAAGAAUGCUAGUAGCAACCUCUCCAGUCUAAGUGGAGGAAUUGGAAAGACCCUUCCCCCAAGCCUCAUCAGAAUAAGGCUUGCAGUAAAAAUAAGGAAAUGGAAUCCUUCAGACAGAGAAUAGCCUUUGCACAAUAAUGGAGACCUACUCAUUUCAAGGUCUGCCCUUGAACAGACAGCCAUUCCUUAAAUAUGUUUGUAUUACCUCCCAAGAAACUAAAUUUGAGGGCAGCUCUUUGCCAACCCCGCACCUCUCCGGCUCAAGCCCAACAAGAGCUCACACUCUGUAAGUCCUGUUACCGAGCGCUUCUCAGUCAGGCUGAGACUAGUGGCACAGGUCAGGACCAUUCAGAAGGAUUCUGAAAGACUGAGAUUUGCUGCAGGAAGGACUGGAAGUACUUAAGAGCAGUGAGACCCAACAGUGAUGAGGCAAAAACAUGGGGGCUGAAAGGAGGGGUGUGCAGGUGGCAGAGAGAAGACUGGUAUGGUUGGACAAUUGAUUACAUUGAGCAAGUCUUCCUGAAUGAUAGCACCCUGAGUGUCUGUCCAUGUGACAUACUGGACCUUGAAGUUCCUUCGAAAAGACUAAAGAGGGGAAAAGAGAAGCCUGGAACCUCUUCUUUGAGCCACACAUAAAUUCAGAUCCAGCUGCCAUGCUUUUUACUUCACUGCUCAACAAAGCCAGCAACGCCUGCCCCAUGCUGGAGAUUCCUCGCUUUCCCUGCAGCUGCACCACGGGUCAGGCUGAGUCAGCAGCACCGGCCCAUAAACGGUAACAGAUGAAGUGGAAUAUGUUCUCUCUCAGGUAUUAUUUUGAGAUGUCCUGAAACAUACGAGCACUUUUUCUGAUUUUGUUCCAAGUUUCAUGAGGUGCAGUUCCACAGAGUACUUUUUCUGACCUUGGCUUCAAAGUCAGUGUUCAUCAUGGGAGUUUGAGCAGAGUCAGCAGUUUUGUUUACCUUUGCCCUUGCCCCGUUUGUUAAUUCAGCUUGGACUCAU